AGGGGCGAAAUCCCUUUCUUCUCCUUGGUCACAGAGGCACCUCAUUCUGAUAUUGACAGAGGAGCCAGCAUGACUAAGUGAACUGUCCUCCUUCUUUCUGUUUGCACAAGUGCCUCUGCUGUUAGAACAGGGCACACACGUAACCAACAAGAAGACGAUGCCAUCUCCCUUCUUUCUUUUUGCUCUGUUCUGAUGUCAACAGAGGAACCUAUAAGAGCCAGAACAGACCAAGCUCAAUAGCUGACUAGAAGUAGCAGUGGCAGCAACAUGGAGAAGCCAAAAAAAGCCCAGUGGUGUUCAUGCUCUAAUUGGCUGAGAAUGGACACAACCAGUGACUACAAUUUCCAGAACCCUCCCUUACGGUUACCAUGAAGAGUGUGAUUUUGCAAUAGUUUGAGGACUAAGGAAGAAACCACAAGAUGCAACUCUAGAAUCUUAGAGCUUAAGAAGAUGUGAUGAAUGGAUGAUCCAUGUUGAGAUCUCGGGGCCCAUCCAGACAGUACCUUUAUCCCAGGAGCUUCUGCAGCAAACAGGAGAGUGGCCAGACGUGGUUCCCUGUAAACACAAAAGCAAUUGCUACGAAAGGCAAAAAACCUGAUGUUUCUGGCGGACAUCCUGCGAUGGCCAUCUUGGAGGCCUCUAAAUCUUGCAACAAAGCAGCAAAUGUGGAUGACAGAGGCAGAAAUCCCAGGACCAACAAGUCUGUAUGUGGAGUUUUCUUCUGUAUGAGUCUUAAACCAACGGAAGAAGUUAUAAAAAUGACUGACACAAACACUCUUCUGAAAAAAAAAUAACUGCCUACUCACUUUGCAAAAGAAAUGAAAAUGGCUGAGACUGGGAAUGGUGCCAUACCUGCAAAGUGCCUCUGUUUGCUUGGGGUGCAUGACAUUUCUUGUGUGAACUUAUGUGAUGCUUCUUAUGUGAGCCUAAUGUAAUCCUGUCACAUUUGUGUUGAAAAAAACCCAGACAACUGUGUGGGAGUAAAAACAGGUCAUGGCUUUUAUUAAUAACAGUAUCAAUUA